UAGCUACAAGCUCAUGGCUUAAUGCGGUCAAUGUUUUGGCUUGGUGGUCUUCACGUGUUAGAAGGGAAAUGAUUCAGAAACAUUUUCACUAAUGCUUUUGAGUGUCUGUCGUCAUGAAGACAACACAUCACCAGAGACAAAACAAAAUACUCUAUUUAAUUGAGCCCAAUUUAACAUUUAACAAAAAUCCAUCCUCCUGGGCUGAGAUUGAAUUAAAGCAUGCUUGUGCUCAGUAUUAAUUAUUAAUAUUAUGACAAUAUUUGAAUUUUAUUUUAAGCAAAUCUGUAACUUUCUUUAAAAAAAUUACACUGCAGUCUUGUUAUUGGUGACCUCAGCUAGGCCCAGAAUUAUUUUCAUGAGAUAUCACCAUGCGGAUUUCGAAUGAAUUCAAUUUAAAGUUAGCGAAAAAUAAAUAUUAUUAAUAUUAUGACAAUAUUUGAAUUUUAUUUAAAGCAAAUCCGUAACUUUCUUGUUUAUUCUGUUUCUUUAUAGGACGUGGCACUAAGGAGGAUUGUCCAGCCACAGAUGACGCUGAAGAACCGUUACAUGCCGCUAACACCUGUCUGCUUCAGCAGCUUGGUUGAAAUGGAGAAACUUGUUCCAUCCCAUCAUCUUAGCCCUAAGGACUCCAAACCAGCUGUUCCACAAGUCACAAAGAAACCGACUGGAACGUGGCCAGACGCCUGCUCCCUC